rnacentral:rRNA from 1 species
GGAUUAGAUACCCUGGUAGUCCACGCCGUAAACGAUGUGCACUAGAUCCCGGACGUUCUGACACGAUCGGGGUCGAAGGUAAACUAAUUAGUGCACCGCCUGGGGAGUACGGUCGCAAGAUUAAAACUCAAAGGAAUUGACGGGGGCUCACACAAGCGGUGGAGCAUGUGGCUUAAUUCGAAGCAACGCGAAGAACCUUAUCCUGGGUUUGACAUGCAUGGAUUAGCUCUGUGAAAGCGGAGUAACGCUCUUUGAGUGGAACAUGCACAGGUGCUGCAUGGCUGUCGUCAGCUCGUGCCG